AUUGAACGCUGGCGGCAGGCUUAACACAUGCAAGUCGAGCGGAGAGAGGUAGCUUGCUACUGAUCUUAGCGGCGGACGGGUGAGUAAUGCUUAGGAAUCUGCCUAUUAGUGGGGGACAACAUUUCGAUAUGAAUGCUAAUACCGCAUACGCCCUACGGGAGAAAGCAGGGGAUCUUCGGACCUUGCGCUAAUAGAUGAGCCUAAGUCGGAUUAGCUAGUUGGUGGGGUAAAGGCCUACCAAGGCGACGAUCUGUAGCGGGUCUGAGAGGAUGAUCCGCCACACUGGGACUGAGACACGGCCCAGACUCCUACGGGAGGCAGCAGUGGGGAAUAUUGGACAAUGGGCGCAAGCCUGAUCCAGCCAUGCCGCGUGUGUGAAGAAGGCCUUAUGGUUGUAAAGCACUUUAAGCGAGGAGGAGGCUACUUUAGAUAAUACCUAGAGAUAGUGGACGUUACUCGCAGAAUAAGCACCGGCUAACUCUGUGCCAGCCGCCGCAGUAACAC
rnacentral:rRNA from 1 species